AGGACGAACGCUGGCGGCGUGCUUAACACAUGCAAGUCGAGCGGUAAGGCCCUUCGGGGUACACGAGCGGCGAACGGGUGAGUAACACGUGGGUAACCUGCCCUGUACUGUGGGAUAAGCCUGGGAAACUGGGUCUAAUACCGCAUAUGACCCUGCCAUGCAUGUGGUGGGGUGGAAAGUUCUGGCGGUACAGGAUGGGCCCGCGGCCUAUCAGCUUGUUGGUGGGUGAUGGCCUACCAAGGCGACGACGGGUA
rnacentral:rRNA from 1 species